UGCAGUUCGAACGCGGUUACCYCGCAGGGGUAACUGAGUGGCGAACGGGUGAGUAACACGUGGGUGACCUACCUUCGARUGGGGGAUAACGUCCCGAAAGGGACGCUAAUACCGCAUAACAUCCYGCYYUUGARYRGGKGGMGAUCAAAGCCGGGGAYCGCAAGRCCYGGCGYUUGRWGAGGGRCCCGCGUCYGAUUAGCUAGUUGGUGAGGUAACGGCCCACCAAGGCGACGAUCRGUAKCCGGCCUGAGAGGGCGGACGGMCACACUGGGACUGAGACACGGCCCAGACUCCUACGGGAGGCAGCAGUGGGGAAUUGUUCGCAAUGGGCGCAAGCCUGACGACGCAACGCCGCGUGGAGGAUGAAGGUCUUCGGAUUGUAAACUCCUGUUGCCCGGGACGAAAUGYUCAGACCUAAUACGUCUGAGUYUGACGGUACCGGGUGAGGAAGCCCCGGCUAACUCUGUGCCAGCAGCCGCGGUAAUACAGAGGGGGCAAGCGUUGUUCGGAAUUACUGGGCGUAAAGGGCGCGUAGGCGGCCCUCUAAGUCGAACGUGAAAUCCCUGGGCUCAACCCAGGAACUGCGUCCGAGACUGGGGGGCUAGAAUCCGGGAGAGGGAUGUGGAAUUCCAGGUGUAGCGGUGAAAUGCGUAGAUAU
rnacentral:rRNA from 1 species